rnacentral:rRNA from 1 species
AGAUUAAGUUAUUAAGGGCGCACGGUGGAUGCCUUGGCACUAGAAGCCGAUGAAGGACGUUACUAACGACGAUAUGCUUUGGGGAGCUGUAAGUAAGCUUUGAUCCAGAGAUUUCCGAAUGGGGAAACCCAGCAUGAGUUAUGUCAUGUUAUCGAUAUGUGAAUACAUAGCAUAUCAGAAGGCACACCCGGAGAACUGAAACAUCUUAGUACCCGGAGGAAGAGAAAGAAAAUUCGAUUCCCUUAGUAGCGGCG